GCCCGACUAGCUCACCGGUAGAGCGCCUCACUAGUAUCUUCCCUUCAGAGAUAAUGAGGAGGCAACAGGUUCGACUCCUGUGUUGGGCA